AUUGAACGCUGGCGGCAGGCCUAACACAUGCAAGUCGAACGAGUGGCGGACGGGUGAGUAAUGUCUGGGAAACUGCCUGAAGGCGGGGGUUAACUACUGGAAACGGUAGCUAAUACCGCAUACCAUCGGAUGUGCCCAGAUGGGAUUAGCUAGUAGGUGGGGUAAAGGCUCACCUAGGCGACGAUCCCUAGCUGGUCUGAGAGGAUGAACAGCCACACUGGAACUGAGACACGGUCCAGACUCCUACGGGAGGCAGCAGUGGGGAAUAUUGCACAAUGGGCGAAAGCCUGAUGCAGCCAUGCCGCGUGUAUGAAGAAGGCCUUCGGGUCGUAAAGUACUUUCAGCGGGGAGGCGUUACCCGCAGAAGAAGCACCGGCUAACUCCGUGCCAGCCGCCGCGGUAAUUC
rnacentral:rRNA from 1 species